rnacentral:rRNA from 1 species
AGCGAACGCUAGCGGCGGGCCUCAAACAUGCAAGUCGAACGCGAAAGUGACUUCGGUCACGAGUAGAGUGGCGCACGGGUGAGUAACACGUAACUAACGUCCCCCCUCGCUGGGGACAACUCCGGGAAACCGGAGCUAAUACCGAAUGAUCUUACGGGGACUGCGGUCUCUGUAGGUAAAGUCGUAAGACGCGAGGGGAUCGGGUUGCGCUAGAUUAGCUAGUUGGUGAGGUAACGGCUCACCAAGGCUACGAUCUAUAGCUGGUCUGAGAGGACGAUCAGCCACACUGGGACUGACACACGGCCCAGACUCCCACGGGAGGCAGCAGUUGGGAAUUUUGGACAAUGGGCAAAAGCCUGAUCCAGCCA